UACGAGGGGAGCAAGCGUUGUUCGGAUUUACUGGGCGUAAAGGGCGCGUAGGCGGCGUGACAAGUCACUUGUGAAAUCUCCGGGCUUAACUCGGAACGGUCAAGUGAUACUGUUGUGCUAGAGUGCGGAAGGGGCUACUGGAAUUCUCGGUGUAGCGGUGAAAUGCGUAGAUAUUCGCAAGAACACCAGUGGCGAAGGCGGCUCACUGGCCCGAUACUGACGCUGAGGCACGAAAGCGUGGGGAGCAAACAGG
rnacentral:rRNA from 1 species